GCAGGCCUGCAGGCCUCAGGAAGAGCAGCCCAUCUCAAAUGAGAAGGUUUCAGAGGCAGGAACAGUGAGUAAGGCACAAUCCCACAGGCGCCCAGCUCAGACCAGCAGGAUCUGAGGCCAGGGCCUGGCAGACGGAGCUGAGGGGAGAGGCUGCAAGUUCCCUUUUUGAAGAAUUUGGUAGCACAACACAGGCACAGGAGAGCUGGAAGUGCAGACACAAAGGGGACACCUGGGGAAGCUUGAAUGUUGAAAACAACCACGUAGCCACUGACCCUAAGGACAGGGCUUUCCAAGUGCUUCCUUCCUUUGUCCCAGGCCAGCCCUGUAAUACUCUUCUUUUUGAUGAUGACACCCAGGAUGGUAAUUGCUACCUCAGUGCAUAAUUGAAACUUUAAAAGAGACGAUUCCGCAUCAAGCAUGCAAUGGAAGAAACUGGAAACUUGUGUCUGGUCUUAUUUUAUUUAGCAAUUCUGUGCAUAUCCUCUAGGGCUUUCAAGUCCCUGCUGUGGACAAUCUGCAUGUGACAGCUGAGACAGGAGGAAGAGGCCCAAGGGAACGCAUUCCUGCUAGGACAGAGCUGGCUGGCUGCACAGUGGAGAGUGUUUGCUGGAAGCUGCUACCAGCCAUGGGGCACCUACCCGCCCAGCGGCCGUUGCAUCCAAUGCAGAGCCCUGGACAAAGGAUGGAGCUGUGAAAACAGUGCCUGGAGGAUCUGAUCCCUUCUAGCAAGGCCAAGAGACACGGCUGGGCUGGGCAGGACGGGGUCUCCAGGCCUCACCGUGGCCACUUAUCUAGACGCCAGCAUCAAAAGGUUCAAAGCCAAGGUCACAGGCUCAUGAAAAAAUUAAGCAGGUAUCAAAAAAUAUCACAAAGGCAACAGUUUUAUGACAUGAAAACAUCUAUCAGAGACAAUAUAAACCUGUCUGCUAAUAGAACCAG
rnacentral:lncRNA from 1 species